rnacentral:rRNA from 1 species
GACGAACGCUGGCGGCGUGCUUAACACAUGCAAGUCAGGGAGAACGGUGUCCUUCGGGAGUGCCUAGUAAACCGGCGAACGGGUGAGUAACACGUAGGUAACUUGCCUUUGGGUUUGGGAUAACCUCGCUAACGCGGGGGUAAGUUCCGAAUAAUGCAGCGGAUCCGCAUGGAUAUGUUGUUAAAGCGGCGAUGACUUGUCAUCGUCGCGCCUAAAGAUGGACCUGCGCCCCAUUAGCAGUUGGUGAGGUUACGGCUCACCAAGGCUGCGAUGGGUAGCCGGCCUGAGAGGGU